UACGUAGGUGGCGAGCGUUGUCCGGAUUUACUGGGUGUAAAGGGAGCGUAGACGGCGAAGAAAGUCUGGAGUGAAAGCCCGCGGCUUAACCGCGGAACUGCUUUGGAAACUUUUUGGCUGGAGUACCGGAGAGGUAAGCGGAAUUCCUAGUGUAGCGGUGGAAUGCGUAGAUAUUAGGAGGAACACCAGUGGCGAAGGCGAUUUGCUGGACUGUAACUGACACUGAUGCGCGAAAGCGUGGGGAGCAAACAGG
rnacentral:rRNA from 1 species